UUUAACCUCAAAUCAGGUAGGAUUACCCGCUGAACUUAAGCAUAUCAAUAAGCGGAGGAAAAGAAACUAACAAGGAUUCCCCUAGUAACUGCGAGUGAAGCGGGAAGAGCUCAAAUUUAAAAUCUGGCGGUCCUCUGAGCUGUCCG
rnacentral:rRNA from 1 species